rnacentral:rRNA from 1 species
GAUAAACGCUGGCGGCGUGCAUAACACAUGCAAGUCGAACGAUGAAGAUUAAAUGAUUUCUUCGGAAUGAACUUAAUUGGCUUAGUGGCGGACGGGUGAGUAACGCGUGAGUAACCUGCCUUGUACAAGGGGAUAGCCGUUGGAAACGACGAAUAAUACCCUAUGACAUCAAAUAAUCGCAUGAUAAUUUGAUCAAAGAUUUAUCGGUAUAAGAUGGACUCGCGUCUGAUUAGCUAGUUGGUAGAGUAAAAGCCUACCAAGGCAACGAUCAGUAGCCGGUUGGAGGGAGGGAACGCCCAAAUGGGGAAGGGAAGAAGCCCAGGGCUCUAAGGGGGGGAAGGAGGGGGAAAUUUGCAAAAAGGGGGAAAGCCGGAAGGAAGCAUCGCGGGGGGAUUAAGAAGGCUUCGGGGUUGAAAAAACUUUUUGUAUGGGAAGAAAGAGAGAAGACCAUAAGAAAAAGCACGGGAAAAUCGGG